AUGAUUACUCAUGUAUCAAACAUUCCUACCCUGUGCUUUUCUCCAGGUCCUGAGUGCUUGCUUUUCAUCAGUAGUAACAUUUGUUUUAUACACAUGCCCAGGAGCGACCCUAGGUGCACAGUGGAAACUCAGGGCAUGAGGAGCUGUUUGCAAUGCCUUCACCCUGUGAAAGGGAUUAGUGUAUGCCAACACAUAAUAUUUCCAACAGAGGUCAAACAUAAGAUCUGAAAUGGCUGCCUAAGGGCUGGGCAUACAGUAUGUGCCAUGACUUGGCUUUUCUUGGGUCAUUUAGGAGAAAAGAGGUAAGUUGUGAGGAAGAAUGCAAUUAACUAACUUUUGUGAAGGGCCCAGAUCAUUACUAGGUGCUUUACAUGUAUUAUCUCAUUUCCAUAUCCAGGUAAAUUCAUGUAGCAGCUAAUAGGAGCCAGAUCAAAAGUUGAAUGCUGGUCUGCCUGACUUACUUGCCUGAUUAGGAGGGUUAAUCCUGAAGUCGUUUUGGUCAGUAGCAUCCAGGAGAUGGAGAAAGGGCUUUGACUAUUUAGAGUUACAUUCUACUCUGCAGUUACUAUUUGAUUUGCAAAUGAGCAAAUGGAAACCUCCCAAGAAACAAAAGGAGAGUUUCAUGGAGGGAGGGAAAUGAGAAAGGAAGGAAGAAAAAAAGAAAGAGAAAGGAACAAGUAAAGAAAAGAGGAAAUGAAAAGGAGGAAAAGGGAAGGGGCAAUGUAAAGAAUCCCAAUAAAUUAUUUAAAAUGUACUUUUUGGUUAAAGAUAGGUUAAAUAAGACCUACUGUUUUUGAUUUAAAUAUAUUAAUUUCAAUUGAAGUACUCAUGCUGACAUAAUAAAAGUCUUUUAAGGUAAUGAGUCAUUAUUUUAAAGGUCACCAAUUAAAUUCCUUCCCCUGAAUAAUUUUCCACCUGCCAUUCUGCAGGUGGACAGCCCCACAUGCACAGCAUCAUCUACUUGCUCUGUAGUCUCUGAUGGUGCCAGGCAUUUAGGUGGAAACAAACAUACUUGUAAGACCCGAGAUCUAUGGCUAAACCUUGUCACUCAGAGAUAUUUAGAUAUGUUUGGCAUUCAAAGUAAGUUUUCUUUUUCUCAGUUUUCAUCUGAUUCUAGGAUAAGUCCCAGAAAAAUUGGCAGCAGAUGAUGAAAAUAAACUGUUUUCUAUCCUAUGUUGGGGGUCUGAAUUUUGCAUUUAAUUCACAUAAUAUGCUUUUAGGGCAAUUUUUGUAUUUUACUAUUUACUGUACUUCAUUCUCCUAUACUGAUUCUGCUACACUGAUAAGCAGGACCCAGAGCUGAACCUGGCAGGGCAGUGAUCCCGGAAGUCUUGAAGAGUGGGAGGCCAAGCCAGAACAUGUCUACCGGUUUCAGUUAGUAGAACCCAGCUGGUGCACAUGGAGAGAAAAGAGCUCUGCAAAGAGAACUUCAACCAAAAAGCCAGCUUAGUUCUGAAGUUAAAAGUAGUUCUGGGUUUUGUGGGUCCUGAAGCUUAUACAAUAUGGGAGGGAUAGUCCUGUUUGAGGAAAAAUAAAAGCAAACACACAUAAAAAUUGUAAUUUUUUCAACAUAACUAUAAAAAAAAAACUUUGUGGGCAAAUUGCUAGGUCCCACUCAGAGUCAUGGAAGGGGUCCGUGCAAAGGAGGGGCCCUGAAGCUUAAGCUUCUCCUAAAGUUGCCUCUGAGUCUUUAGAGAUUAGGCAUCAGAUGCAUGUAGCUAUAAUAGCCAAAGGACCUGAGACCAGAAGUCAGAAGAAGAAGGUUCAAGCAGAGACUGGAAGAAGGUUCAAGCAGAUGGUGGAAGGAUAAGAUGCUCAGUUAGAGAAGACAAUAGCAAUAUCUGUAGUUUACCCCCAGUCUUCUGUGGUAGGGGAGGUCGCUAUUUAGGACAUCAUUCAGUGUGAGACAACAAGAAUGAUCAUGACCCUGAAAAUAAAUGUUUCAACCGAGUACAUAUGAACAUAAAAAUAGGAAGAGGAGAUGCUUGGGACUACUAGAGGGGGUAGGCAGGGCAGGGGAUGUCACUGAAAAACUACUUUGAAAUUAUGAAAAAUAAAAAUAAAAAAUAAAAAACAAACAAAAACCUUAGCAUUAACCAACAAUGGAAAAUCAUGGUUUGAAUGAGUACUUUAUGACUGACCUUUAUCACUCAAAGCAUAUCUGAAUUCUGAGGUUUGGAUAAAACAAGGAAAUAAAGUUUUCAUUAUUUCCCCAUAGGAGCUUGAAAUGUGUAGCAACACUGAGUGGAGAAGAAAAAAUGUACUGGUAGUUUUCUAACAGCUUGUACCUUACCUAAUAUUAACCCGCUGGGCAUAUUGGAACUGUAAGGAAUCUGGACGCAAUAGUAAGCUCUGGUUGAAAAAAAUGUACCGAUCAAUAGCUUGCAUUACCGUAAAAAUCCUUCUGGGCUUAAAAUUUUAUUUUCUUGUAUUAUGAUAGAAACCCUGAAGAGCAAGAAUGAGGGCUAAUCAAAGAAAUAGUAGAAAACAGCAUAUAUGUCCCAAUACAUGAUGGUCUCUAUCAAGAGCAUUAUGGUUUCCACACGGAAAGCUAUAUAGUAGUGGAAUUUUUUUUUUUUUUGACUUAAGUCUCCAUGGUGCUAUUUCAGGGUGCUUUUAAUAAAGAUCUUUCUAGCAACCAAGUAAACUCAACAACAUAUCUUAAAAUAGAAAAAUAAUUAUUCCCAUAGUUGUAUAUAUGUACACACACAUACCUAUGUGUAUAGUACUAUUUGUUUCUCUUUUAAUGUUCUAUUUGAACACUUAGGAAUUAAUCAUUUGAUUUUUUCUUGGAAUAUAACUUUUACAUGUAUUCUUUAUGUCAUUGACUGGUGUUGUAUAUAUAUCUAUGAAAAUUAUUUUCAUCAUAAAGUGGAUAUAUCACUGGAUAAACAUAAAAUAUAAGGAAACUAAUUACAUAGAGCCACACUGUAGCUCUUUGGUUUUAGAAUAGUUUAGUAUGUGAAAUAUGUAAACAUAUGAUUAAUAUUAUGCAUUUGCAGCCUGUUUCAUUGAAGAAUGCAAUUUAUUUGCUUCUUUUUAUUUCUUUUCUGCAGAAGGAAGUUGAUAGGACUUGACUGGAGUCUUAGAGAAUAGUAAAAUUAAGGAAGUGAAAUCAGGGUAUAGGGAAGAGAAUGGUGCAUGAGGCUUAGCUCAUAAAGGGGAGGAAAAAGUAGCUGUAGAAUGCAUGUCCAGAAUUAGAUGUGCACAAGGUACUCACAGAUUCAAGGGUCUCUCUGCAUGUGAGGAGGCAGAUCUCAUUAGGAGAAUCUCCUCCUCCCACUGAUAUUGGCUGAGAGAUCAUGCCUCCCAUUUUUCUUCUUUAGUCAACCUGUGGCAAUGAUUGCAGUUAAAGCAAUAAUUCAGAAAUGUAGACCUAAAACUUAAACCAUUCAUUUCCCUUUUAAACCCCUUUGUUGACUCCUUUUGAUCUAUGGUACAUUUUGAACCUCUUAGAAUGGCCUUACCUGGCACUUCUAUUCAGUCUCCAGACUCAGGUCCCGCUAGUAUGUCUCAUGCCUUAUAUUCUGGCAUAAAAAUCUGAUUGUUGUUUCCUGACCAUCCUGCAUACCUGUCCUGAGGAUCUUCUCUCUGACUAGAUGCUUUCUUCACCUUCUCUUGGCCAAAUUUAACUCAUAAGAUUAAACUAGAACAUCACCUAUUCCAGGGAAUCCUCUCCUGAAAAUCUCCAGGCCCAACAGCAUACGUAAAUCACUAUAUUCCCAGAACACUUGAAAGGAUGUAAAAAUUAGGUUACGUUGUAUAUUUAUCAUUAUUCUCUUGAAGACAGAGACCAUAUUAAACUUCCCUAUAAGAUUCUGGCCAGUUCUAUUGUUUGUGUACUAAUAGUUUUAACUGGAAAGGGUGGUAAAUAAAUUGUGGAGUGAGUUGAAGCUCCUUCAAGGGAUCACACAGGCAAAAAUUUAGGAACAUUACAAGUAUCUCAAUUGAAAGGAUUACUUUUAUAUUAGAUAAUUUUAUUUAUAUUCAGAAAGAUGCUUGUGUUUACUUAUUUGGGGACUUUCUGUACCAGGCAAGCCCUUUUACAUGUGUGAGGUGAGACUGCAGGUGAAGCCACCUGGCAGAUCUUAUCACAUAUUCUAUACUCCUAGUAGCAUGGAUAAAAGGCCUUGAAAGAAAAUUUCAAACCUAUCUAAAUUAGGACUGGAUGCAUGAAUCUGAAUGUAAUUGAUUUGGCAAUAUAUGCCACCAAACCUCAAGAAUGAAACACAUACUUGUUUGAGUGUAAAAAUUGAUGACAUUGAGCUGGAAAACUAUUUAACACACAAAAAACGCUAAACAAGAUUUCUCAAGCUCUAGGAAGUGAUUCAAUGUAAACAUACACUGGUUUGGGGAAAAGAGGGUAAAACAGCAUCUGUGUUUUGUAGUCUGUAACAACUAUACCCAAGCAUCAGUUCUUGCUUCUGAGAACUUUUUCACUGUUUUCCCUACAUCAAAUAAGUUUGAACCCGAUUUACAUGAGAUUCUGCACCCAAAUCUAAAUAAUUAGAAAUAAACUUUAUCACUUUAGAGAUUGAUGGUAAAACAAGGGAAAUACCUAAUGUCUCAAAGAAAAUAAGAGACUGAUAAGAACCAAACAACCUAUUUCUUAAUAACAUUAUCUGGAAAUGCUGAUGAUAUCUACAGAAUGGGUAUUUGUAAUGAUUCAAAUGAGAUGUAACAGCAGACUGGAUGAAAAUUUCAUUUUAUUAGAGAGCAGCAUUUUAAUUAUUUUUUAAUUACCACAUCUGAGUUAGAACAAAAGGCUUGAUGGUGUUUGGAACCAUAAAUUAAGGUCAAGUAGAUGCAUUUAAAAACAUUCUAGUUUAAUUUGUCAGCAUAAGAUCCAUGUCGAGGGGAACCUAAGAAUUUGGGGAAAUGGUGCAAUGCUUUAGCUGGAUUAUGGUGUAGAAUGAGGUCUGUUCAGUGACAGUCAACAUACUGCUAUUAAGUAUGAACUAACCCUGUGGCCCACAAUGUGCGCAUGGUGUCUGCGUUUAAGAAUUCUAAUGAGAAUAUCACCAGAUACUUAGAUCAUCAUUGAAUUUGCUACUUUAUUUGUUUCUUUAUAGGAAGUUCACAGUUGUUUAUGUCACUGCUGCAUUCAUGGAAGAUUUGGG
rnacentral:lncRNA from 1 species